GUGGCUGUAAGUACAGCCAUCACACACUCCCCCUCUUCAGAUCUCUCCCUGGGACAGCGAGAGAGACAGUCUGCAGUGCAGUUAUCUUUGCCGGGGAUGUGGUUGAUGAAGCGGAAUGGCUGGAUUGCAAGGUACCAUCGCGUGAUCCUUCCAUUUGUGUCCUUCAUUCUCUCUAUCCAUUGAAGAGCCUUGUGGUCCGUUUCCAAUAUGAACUCCCGUCCGAGAAGAUAAUACCUAAAGGAGUCCAGGGCCCAUUUGAUGGCAAGUCCCUCCUUCUCGAUGGUCGAGUAUCGCACUUCCCUCGGAAACAGCUUGCGGCUGAUGAAGGCCACUGGAUGACGCUCUCUAGGCGGUCCCUGUAACUGUGAGGCAUCAGUCUGAAGAAUGAAAUUUCUCUCAAAAUCAGGGCUGUGCAAGACUGGGCUCUUACUCAGAUUGUCGUAGGUCCUGAAAAGCCAUCUUAGCCUCCUCUGUCCAGGUGAUCUUAUUGGGACUUCGGGCACCAGUCAGAUCCGUCAGAAGAGCUGCCCCGGUGGAGAAAUGAGGGAUAAACCGAUGAUAGAAUCCUGCCAUACCUAAAAACGAUCUCAGCUGUUUUCUGGUCUCUGGCAAGGGACAGGAUUCUAUGGCGGUGACCUUAUUGACUUGAGGUUUUAUUACUCCCAUUUCCAAUCACAAACCCAAGGUACUCAGUUUCAGCCUUCGCAAUGGCACACUUAGCUGGAUUAACAGUCAACCCUGCAGACUGAAGACGCCCCAAUACCUUCUCCAGGUGUUGUAGAUGUUCUUCCCAGGUAGAACUGAAAAUCACUAUGUCAUCAAGGUAGGCUGCAGCAAAAUCAGACAUGUCAGACAGUACCUGGUCCAUCAGUCUCUGGAAUGUUGCUGGGGCACCAUGCAGUCCAAAGGGCAUGACUUUAAACUGGAACAAGCCCCACGGGGUCCGGAAAGCAGUCAGCUCUUUUGAGCGCUCAGUCAGUGGUACCUGCCAAUAACCCUUGCAGAGGUCUAUUGUUGUCAGGUAUCUGGCCUUCCCAAGGCGCUCAACCAUGUCAUCAAUGCGGGGAGUUGGAUAUGAAUCAAAUUGUGAUAUUGCAUUCAGGUACCUGAAGUCUAUGCAGAAACGGAUACUACCAUCCUUCUUUGGCACCAGGACCACUGGGUGGCACCACUCACUCUUUGAGGCUUCAAUGAUUCCUAGUGACAACAUCAGGUCGAUCUCCUCUUUCAACGGGAUCAGUAGACGCUCAGGAAGAUGGUUGAGAUCCAGGUCCUGAGGAGUGGGUUUUGGCAGAUACUGAUCAUCCACUUCCUCCUCCUCCGAAACCUCCCGGAUCAGAAAGACAUCUGCUUUUGGUCUCUCCACCCAUUCCUUAAGCAGGUUAAUGUGCAGUACUCUGCUGGAGCGGGGCUGAUCUGGAAUAGCAACCUUAUAGGUUGUUUGCCCAAGUUUCUUUUGGAUCUCAUAUGGCCCUUGCCACUUUGCUAACAGCUUACUGUCAUCACUUGGAAGAAGCACCAGCACCUUCUGACCAGGACUGAAGGAUCUUUGCCGAGCUGACUGGUCGUACCAGGCCUUCUGGUGCUGCUGUGCUUCUGCUUUGUGGGCUUGGGCCAGCUCCGUCAUCUUCUCCAACCGUUCCCGCAUCUGGACAACAUAAGAGACAACAUUGACAGCCUGUGAUCUUUCUUGGUCACCCUCCCAAGUCUCCCUCAGAAGAGACAAGGGGCCUCAUACCUCAUGGCCAUACAAUAAUUCAAAAGGUGAAAAACCUGUAGAGGCCUGGGGUACUUCUCUAUAUGCAAAGAGGAGGUAGGGCAGCCACCGAUCCCAGUCUGUACCAGUUUCAUUGACAAAUUUACGUAACAUUUGUUUCAGGGUCUGAUUGAAGCGCUCUGUUAGGCCAUCUGUCUGAGGAUGGUAUGGCGUUGUCCUCAGGCUCUUAAUCCCAAGGAGCUGGUACACCUGCUUCAACAAAGUGGACAUAAAAUUAGUGCCACGGUCAGUAAGAAUCUCACGAGGAAAACCAACCCUUGAGAAGAACUGUAUGAGACAGAGGGCGACUGCUUUGGCUUUUAUUGAUCUCAAAGGAAAGACCUCCGGAUAUUUUGUAGCGUAAUCUGUCACAACAAGCAUGUAACGGUUGCCUGCCUUGCUUCUUUCUAGAGGACCAACAAUGUCCAUUCCUAGCCGUUCAAAUGGAGUGCUGAUAAUUGGUAGAGACUGGAGAGGAGCUCUGGAGGGGAUUUUAAGAGAAGACUUCUGGCACUGAGGGCAGCUUUUGCAGAACAGUGUCACAUCUGAGCACAUUCCAGGCCAAUGAAAAUAGUUUUUAAUGCGGGCCAUGGUUUUGUGCUUUCCCAAGUGGCCAGCCCAUGGAAUGGAGUGUCCCAAGGAGAGCACCACCUUCUGAACUGCUCUAGGAACCACCAACUGUAAUGCUGAACCCUGCUGACGAUACAGAAUGCCAUCCUUCAGCAGAAACUCCCCCUUGCUGUUCAGAUCUUGCUUAGUUCCUUGGUUCCUCUCUGCAGCUUUCUGGAACAGAGAUGUUAGAGAUGGAUCGUCAUGUUGCAUUUCAAUAAUAUUAGCAGGGAUUUUAAAACCCAAAGGUAACUCAGGCUCUGUGCUAUGAGCUGCUCGAACAGCAUUAUGUAGAAACGUCUCUUGCCUUCUCUGUCUACGUGACUUACGAGACUUCCCGGGUGCAGUCUCUAUGUCCACAUCAUAGAAGGGCAAGGCACGGAGUGGGUGUAGGGAUUCCUCUUUCUUCUUAGCUUGAGCUCUUGUUACUGCAACAUUGCAUGUAUGACUAGGAUUCAGCAAGUCAAACAACACAGGCAGAUCUCGACCCAGCACUACUAGAAACGGCAGAUUCUCUGCAACACCAAUAUUUAGAAUAUAGGUUUGUCCUUGUACCUUGAUGUACAGAUCUGCUGUUGGAUAUGACCUCUCAUCUCCAUGAAUGCAGCAAACAGGGAUUGUCUCCACAUUAUUAACUUUAUUUGCAGGAACAAAGUCUCGGUGCACAAGAGUCUGAGUACUUCCUGAGUCAACAAGGGCCUUUAAUGGUUUCCCAUCAACCUCAGCUAAGGUCAUUUUGAAACCAUUCUCAAACUCCACUUUAGGUUCCACACUUUGUCGGGGCACAAAACACAUCUGAGUUAUUUUUGUAGAAUUCUUCGGGCACAUCGGUUUUGUGUGGCCCUCCAUUCCACACAAAUAACAAAUCACAGUCUUGGGUGGAGAUCUUGACGGCAUAUUGACAGACUGGCUUUUUGGAGGUUUACUCACCCCUGCUUUCUGGUAGUGAGGUACAGAUUUUGAAACAUCUCUCAUUUUCCAUGCUGUGUGGCUCCAUGGCUGUCCUUUUCUCCGUGCCGCCACAAACACAUCAGCCAGUUCUGCAGCCGCCGCAGCAGAGUUUGGAUUGCGUUCUUUAAUCCAUAUCUGUAACUCAGGAGACAACAUUCUCAAGUAUUGUUCUAAAAUUAAUAUUUCACCAACCUCAUGCACCGUUUUUCCUUUUGGCUUUACCCACUUCUCAUAUAACUCUUUCAAUCUUGCAUAUAGUUCUUUUGGAUUCUCAUCAGGUUUUACCUCCAGUGAACGGAAUCUCAGUCUAUAUGUCUCAGGAUUAAUGUCAUAUUUUUGAAGGAUAGCUGCUUUAACUUUGUCAUAAUCUAGAGAGUCAUCCAUAUCCAUAUGAACAUAUGCACCUCUUGCUUUGCCAGUGAGUAAAGGAAUCAGAUGAAAAACCCAGUCCAUUUUUUGCCACCGGCAAACUACAGCCAUGUGUUCAAAUGUUGUUAAAAAAUGUUCAA